CCUACGGGAGGCAGCAGUGGGGAAUAUUGCACAAUGGAGGCAACCCUGAUGCAGCGACGCCGCGUGAGGGAAGACGUAAUUCGUUAUGGAAAACUCUAUCAGCAGGGGAGUAAAUGGCGGUACCUGAGUCAGAAGCCCCGGCUAACUACGUGCCAGCAGCCGCGGUAAUACGUAGGGGGCGAGCGUUAUCCGGAUUUACUGGGUGUAAAGGGAGCGUAGACGGGAGUGCAAGGCUGCUGUGAAAGGCGGGGGCUCAACCCCCGGACUGCUCUGGAAACUGGACGGCUGGAGUGCAGGAGAGGUAAGUGGAAUGCAUAGUGUAGAGGUGAAAUGCGUAGAUAUCAGGAGGAACACCAGUGGCGAAGGCGGCUGACUGGACUGCAACUGACGUUGAGGCUCGAAAGCGCGGGGAGCAAACAGGAUUAGAUACCCGGGUAGUC
rnacentral:rRNA from 1 species